rnacentral:lncRNA from 1 species
GAGAGUUGGUGAGGGAGAGAAAAGCAAGGGCUCGAGGCGAAACGCAGAAGCUCUGGUUCGAAGAGUCCUUGGCCGACGAUCUGCUUGUGUGACCGGAAAUGGAGAAAGUUGAUGAAGAGAAAAAGAACGAGGAGAGUCUGAGGUUUGUAAAAAGUAAACUUUAUUUAUGUUUCUGAGAAAAAUGAAAUGUCUGAUACAACGUGCAUAAUCUGUGUUGUUCUCUCUGUUUAAAUGAAGAUAAGGAACUCUAUUUAUAGAGUUCUCGGGGUUAAGGGGGAAAGGGUAACAGAAAAAGGAAAAAACUUAAUUAAUAGUUAACAACCAGGAGCGUGGUUACUGUAUUUGACAGUAAUCCACUAACCACUUUCUUCAAUAGCCUCCCCUCAAGCUGGAUAAUGUAUGGUCAUCAAACCAAGCUUGGGAACAAUGGUCUUGAACCGAACACGAUGUGGAAAUUUUGUAAAAAUGUCAGCUAGUUGCUCGUCGGAGCGAACUGGGAGAAGUCUUAGAGCAUUAGCUUGUAUCUUCUCACGAACUACAUGGCAAUCAAGCUCAAUAUGCUUGGUCCUUUCGUGAAAACUUUGGUUGUGUGCUAUGUGUUUGGCAGAUUUACUGUCACAGUAGAGGGCUGGAGUUCCAACUUGUCGUACUUGUAAAUCAUCCAACAAAUAGUUGAGCCAUUGUAUCUCACAAGUAGUGGCUGUUAUAGCCCUGUAUUCUGCUUCUGUGGAAGAUCUAGAAACUGUGCUUUGUUUUUUUUUAUUUCCAUGAUAUGAGUGAUGAUCCAAGAAAGACACAAAAGCCCGUAGUAGACCUUCUAGUAUUUGGACAUGUUGCCAAGUCUGAAUCACUGAAAGCUUUCAGAUGUAUAGGUGAACCAGCUGGAAAGAACAAUCCUUCUGAUGGUUUAGACUUGAUGUACCUGAGAACAUGUUGAACAGCCCGAAAAUGGAAAUUAGUAGGUGAUUGCAUAAACUGACUAAGUAAGUUAAUUGAGAAGCAUAGAUCGGGUCUAGUGUUAGACAGAUAAAGCAACUUUCCUAUUAACCUUCUAUAGGAGCUUGGAUCCUCUAAGUAGCUCUCCUGUUUGUACAAAGAACUUGUGUCACUUAAGAAGGGAGUGGUGCAUGGCUUGCAGCCCAGCAUCCCUGUUUCCUUAAGGAUAUCUAGAGCAUAUUUUCUCUGAGACAGAUGAACUCCCUUUUUAGAUCUUGCUACCUCAAGGCCAAGAAAAUAUUUGAGUUCUCCUAGGUUCUUUAUGUGAAACCUGUUGUGCAAGAGGUUCUUGACAUGAUUGAUUUCCUCCAUGGAAUUCCCUGCUAGUAUAAUGUCAUCUACAUAGACAAGUAAGGUUGUGAAACUCAUGUUUAUGCUUUUAACAAAAAGAAAAUGGUCUGAUUUUGAUUGCACAUAGCCAACAGAAAUGAGGAAUGUAGACAGUUUUUCAAACCAUUGCCUACUAGCCUGUUUUAGCCCAUAUAGAGAUUUUGUGAGCCUGCAAACUUGACCUGUCUUGCAAGUGUUUAAUCGUGGUGGGGGUUCCAUGUAUACUUCCUCCUUUAAAUCUCCAUGUAGGAAUGCAUUAUCCACAUCCAGCUGGUGCAAAAACCAGUUUUUAGAAGCUGCCAGUGCAAUAAGUAACCUUACUGUGGUCAGCUUAGCAACAAGGGAAAAUGCAUCUAAGAAAUCAAUCCCUUCCUGUUGGGUAUACCCCUUUGCCACAAGGCGAGCUUUAUGUCUUUCCACAGUACCAUCAGCCUUGUACUUGAUUUUAUACACCCAUCUACACCCAAUGGUAGUUUUCCCUGGGGGAAGUUCAGUCAUAAACCAAGUAUUGUUNUCUUCUAAGGCUGCAAUUUCCNUUUGCAUNGCNUCUGCCCACUCNGACACAUCUUUAGCCUCUUUAUANGAUUUUGGCUCGCUGUUUGUAGUUAUAGCCAUAGUGUAUCUUAGAUGUUUCCCUAUCAAAGAUUCACAAGAUAAUGAAUCAGAAAUGGGAUAGGGCGUUUUCAAAUUGUUAUUCAAAGUCAAGGAUUGAUUCACCUGGUGUAUGUAAUCUGCCAAAUAUCCUGGAUGCCUUCUAAUUCUGUCAGACCUUCUGUGUCCAAGGUCUUCCCCACUGCUACUGGCCUGAUCUCCACCAUCACCAUGGUCAUUUUGACUUUGUUCUGCAUUUCUACCUAUAGAUCCUGCACCACUACCAGGAAUAGAGUUGUCCAUAGGAUCAUUGAGAAGAGUCAUUGGAUCAUUUUCUUUGUCAUUAACCUCUGUACUGUUUUGUUGGUCCUUCCAAGGGAAGAUGUUUUCAUAGAAAACAUUUCUGCUUAUGAAUAACUCCCUGGUAUAAAUGUCAAGUACAGUAUAUCCCUUAACUCCACUCUUGUACCCGAGGAAGAUACACUUCCUAGCUCUUGGCUCGAGUUUGUUCCUGCCCCCUUCAAGGGUGGAAGCAAAACAGAGACACCCGAAGGUUUUGAGACUCAAAUAAGUGGGAGGGGUGUCAUAAAUGAGACCAUAUGGGGUUUUCCCAUUAAGUAUGGGAGAGGGCAAUCUAUUUAUGAGGUAAACAGCAUGGCUGGCAGCAUAAGACCAAUAAGCAGUGGGUAAAUUAGAUUGAAACAUAAGACUACGAGUCACAUUAAGGAUAUGUUGGUGUUUUCGUUCCACCGCAGAGUUUUGCUGAGGAGUCUCAACACAACUAGUUUGGUGAUUGAUCCCAUAGGAAUUAUACAAAUCAACACAGUUGAAUUCAGGGUCGUUAUCUGUCCUAACGGUUCUAAUCAUCUUACCAAAUUGAUUCUUAAUUUUAACAAGGAAAUUCUGCAGCAGACUUCUAGUUUGUCCCUUAUUGUUCAUUAAAAAUAUUCAUGUGUGUCGGCUAUAAUCAUCAACAAUAGUAAGGAAGUACUUGUGCCCAUGAACAGAGGAAACAGAAAACGGACCCCAUAUAUCACAAUGAAUAAGAUCAAAACAUUCAGCAGAUAAAGAAACACUUAUAGGAAAUGGCAAUUUAUGUUGUUUAGCAUAGUGACAAACAUCACAAACAACAUUAGUAUUCAUUUGUAGAUAAGGGAAAUGUUCACAUAUUUGUUUUACAACUUUUUGUCUAGGGUGGCCUAGCUUGUAGUGUCACAAAUUAAUGUCAACAUGUUUAAAAGAGAAAACAGAUUUAGAAACAAAAUUUUGAUCAGGUCUGGUAAAAUCUUGUAGAUAGUAUAGGCCUUUGUGAGGGCUAGCACACCCAAUCAUCUUCAAUGUAGAAUUCUCCCUUAUCUGACAAUCCUUAGAAGAAAAGGUUAGAUUGCAAUUUAAGUCUUUUGUAAGACUUUGAACUGAGAUUAGAUUGAAUGAAAAAUCAGGAAUGUAUAAGACAUUAAAGAGGACAAAAUUUUCAGAAAAUUGGACUGUCCCUGCAUAUCUAGCUGUAAUAACAGUAUUAUUAGGCAACCUUACAGUGAUGAGUUUAAUUUUAUAGAAAGUUGUAAAAUUUUCUUUUUCAUGGGUCACAUGAUCUGUGGCCCCAGUAUCAAUAAUCCAAGAGAAAGUACCUGGAUCAUCUUCUUCAUUAUUGCUUUGUAUGUGGUUGAUAUUGUGCCUAGGCUCGUUAGCUUUCUCAAUCAUUUUGAGAAGCUUUUGCAUUUGUUCUGGAGUCAAUGAACUCAAGGCAGUAGUGGUGUUAUUCUUCUGAUCUGUUUUUGGUCCAGUAGUGCUUUGGCAAGCAUUAGUUGAACUCCAGCCUCCCCUUGCUUCAGAACUCCCGUCAGCCUUUUUAUACCAGGGUGGAUAGCCAUGCUUAGAAUAGCAUUCAUCUAUAGUGUGGUUCAUCUUGUUGCAGUAUGAGCAUUGUUUCCCAUAGUUAGGAUUUCUGCCUCUUCCCCUUCCCUGUCCAGAACCACGACCUUGGUUUUUCCAGGUCUGGUCUCCUUUCCAAUUGCUGCUGCCUUUGUUAUUCACAGUAGCAAGGACUUUUGUUGUUUCAGUAAGUUGAGUGUAGGAAAUACCAGACCUUUCUUGUCUUUCUUGCUGUAUAAUAAGAGAAAAUACUCUUUUUAUGCCUGGAAGGGGUUCCAUUAAAAGGAGUUGUGCGAACAGUGCUGUAAGUGUCAUUGAGGCCCUUUAGAAAGCAUAUGACGUGUUCAAUCUUCCUGUACUUCAGAGAGAUCUUGGAGAGCUCACAGCUGCAGGGGACUUUGCAGGUGCAGUUGGGUAUGGGUCUAAGGGAUUCCAGUUCUUCCCAAAGGAUUUUCAGAUCAGUAAAAUAUUGGUUGACACUCCUUUCUCCUUGUUUGAUUGAGUGGAUAUCUUGGAGGAGAUCUGAUAUUUUAAAAUAGUCUCCCUUAGAGAAUCUUUCUCUUAAUUCAUCCCACAAUUCCUUUGCUUCUUCAACAUAUAUCACACUUUCUGCAAUUUGGGGAGAAAAUGUCUUAAUGAUCCAUGAGAGCACCAUCAUAUUGCAUCUCUCCCAUGAAUCAAACAGUUCUUCAGUUUUGUUGGGUUUCUUGAUUGACCCAUCAAUAAAUUUGAGCUUGUUCUUGGAAAGGAGUGCCCUUUUCAUACUUCUACUCCAAGAAGAGUAGUUAGUUUCAUUUAGGACCUGAGAAAUCAAUGUCAAGCCUGGAUUUUCUCAAGGAUGUAGGUAGUAGGGGCUGACAGGAUUGUUGGUUAGGUUGAGUUUUUCUUCUGUCAUCUUGAUACCAGAAUCAAGAAGCUUCAAGAAAUUCAAGCAAGAAGUAUCAAGAAUCAAGGAUUAGCAGCGGAAGUGAUGAUCAGCUCUUGAUACCAUAAAAGAAUUGGGCCGACCCAGGUCCAGGCCCAAUUCCAGAGUCAGAAACAAUAAGUGAGAAGAGUCUCACUCUUUCAUUACACUUGUCAGAGAGUUGGUGAGGGAGAGAAAAGCAAGGGCUCAAGGCGAAACGCAGAAGCUCUGGUUCGAAGAGUCCUUGGCCGGCGAUCUGCUUGUGUGACCGAAAAUGGAGAAAGUUGAUGAAGAGAAAAAGAACGAGGAGAGUCUGAGGUUAGUAAAAAGUAAACUUUAUUUAUGUUUAUAUGAAAAAUGAAAUGUCUGAUACAACGUG